rnacentral:rRNA from 1 species
CCUACGGGUGGCAGCAGUAGGGAAUAUUCCACAAUGAGGGAAACCCUGAUGCAGCGACGCCGCGUGCGUGAAGAAGGAAUUCGUUAUGUAAAGCUCUGUCAGCAGGGAAGAAAAUGACGAUACCUGAGUGAUUAGCCCCUGCUAACUACGUGCCAGCAGCCGCUGGAAUACGUAGGGGGCAAGCGUUAGACGGAUAUACUGGGUCGAAAGGUAGCGGAAACUGCAGUGCAAGUCUGGAGUGAAAGGCGCGGGGCCAAACCCCGGACUGCUCUGGAAACUUGACAGCUGGAGUGCAGGAGAGGUAAGUGGAAUUCCUAGUGUAGCGGUGAAAUGCGUAGAUAUUAGGAGGAACACCAGUGGCGAAGGCGGCUUACUGGA